rnacentral:tRNA from 1 species
AGUGGGUUGGCUCAGUGGUUAGAGCUUGGGUCUUGUGACCGAAAGGUCCUGAGAUCAAAUCUUGCCAGAGGCAAAA